GGCUCAGAUUGAACGCUGGCGGCAGGCCUAACACAUGCAAGUCGAGCGGUAACAGGGAGUAGCUUGCUACUCCGCUGACGAGCGGCGGACGGGUGAGUAAUGUCUGGGAAACUGCCUGAUGGAGGGGGAUAACUACUGGAAACGGUAGCUAAUACCGCAUAACGUCGCAAGACCAAAGAGGGGGACCUUCGGGCCUCUUGCCAUCAGAUGUGCCCAGAUGGGAUUAGCUAGUAGGUGGGGUAAUGGCUCACCUAGGCGACGAUCCCUAGCUGGUCUGAGAGGAUGACCAGCCACACUGGAACUGAGACACGGUCCAGACUCCUACGGGAGGCAGCAGUGGGGAAUAUUGCACAAUGGGCGCAAGCCUGAUGCAGCCAUGCCGCGUGUAUGAAGAAGGCCUUCGGGUUGUAAAGUACUUUCAGCGAGGAGGAAGGCGUGAAACUUAAUACGUUUCACGAUUGACGUUACUCGCAGAAGAAGCACCGGCUAACUCCGUGCCAGCAGCCGCGGUAAUACGGAGGGUGCAAGCGUUAAUCGGAAUUACUGGGCGUAAAGCGCACGCAGGCGGUUUGUUAAGUCAGAUGUGAAAUCCCCGGGCUCAACCUGGGAACUGCAUUUGAAACUGGCAAGCUUGAGUCUUGUAGAGGGGGGUAGAAUUCCAGGUGUAGCGGUGAAAUGCGUAGAGAUCUGGAGGAAUACCGGUGGCGAAGGCGGCCCCCUGGACAAAGACUGACG
rnacentral:rRNA from 1 species